GCCCCUCGUGCCCGGGCCGCGGCCCGGCUUGUCCCGGCCGGAGAGGAGCCGCGGUGCCGCCCGCACGGAGCCGACCCUCGCCCGCAUCACGUCGGGCCGGGGGGCGCGGCUGCCCGGGACUCGUGCCCUUUCCCGGCGCAGCUGGUCCCGGUCUCGGGCGCUGCCUGCGGGCGCUGCGGGCCGGGCUCUGUGCGGGUGCUGAGCUCCUCUCCGCCGCGGGCCCUGCCCGGCUCCCUCGGCCCCGCUCCCCCGGCCGGGCGAUGCCUCCUGCAGGCGGGGCGGGCGGGCGGGACGUGGCCGGGGCAGGGCAGGGGGCAUUGCCCACCUGGGAGCCUGGCAGGACGGGCACUGCGCUCGUGGGCAAUGCAGAGCGAGCAGGGAAGGCAGUGAGGUUUGGGGGAGGUGGAGGCUGCAGGGCUGGGGGUGGCCAGGGUCUGUGCAGGGCGCAGGCAGGGCAGGAGCCAGGAGGGGCUGAGUGGGCACGGCUCAGGCAGGCGGGCGAGGGGUCUGUCUGUGCUGGCAGCGGCAGGGCACCUGGUGCCGGACUGCAGGGUUUGCACAGCAGGCCCUGCAGCUGCUCCUGCUGUUGCCACCCUUGCUGCUUGUCCCAGGAGAAGAGGGGCAGCAAGGUCCUUGGCCUGGCUCUGUGUCGCUGGGUCCCUGCAGGAGCUGCUCCAGUUGUGCUGGGGCUGAGCCCAGGGGAGAGCAGGCUGAGGGGCGAGGGCAGGGAGCGGGAUGGAGCUGGGGGUCACAGAGGAGUUGGGAGGUAGGGGACAGGCUGUGGGGCCCUAUGUGGGACAGUGCGGUGGGGGAUGUGGGGCCAGACGGGCUCUGAGGGCAGUGGUUUAUGGGCAGGUGGGUGCUGCGGGGAGGGGAGCUGUGGGGCCAUGUGGGAGCUACGCAGGAGAUGGGUGGGAAGGCCAGGACGGGCCACAUGGGGCUGAGCCGGGGAGCAGGAGGGUCCUGUUAAAAAAUGCUUUCAUGUGGUUCGGGACUGGCCUCAGGACACUUCCCUCUGCAUCCUGCCUCCCGGCUGGUGCCAGCCAUAUCCUUUCUGCCCAGCAGGGCUAGCUCUGGAGGCGCUGUUCUUGGGGCUGGUAGGGGUGGGCUCUGAGUGCAGGGGAGCACAGCUGCAACUUGGCACCGGGGCUUAUUAGUGAGCGAGCACAAGCCUAUAAAGCCAUGACCAUAACCCCCCGGGAGGAGUGGGUUGGGGGAGCAGGGAACUUAGGGAGCCAAGACCAGGAGGAGGGCUGGGGAACAGGCCACUGGGGCGCCAGCCAGGACAAGGUUCCCCUAGCCAGCAGUGCUGUGGACUCCCCUCUGCGUGGGGCUGGGAAAGGAUAUGCUUCCGACAGGUUUCAAAGUUUCAUAGUUGUUUGGGGCUGGAAGGGACCUUACAGAUCAUCGAGUCCAGCCCCCCGCACUCAGGCUCCUGGUGUCUCAGUUAAAAGAACUGGUGCUGGGACAAUGAUCCAAAAUGGCCCCAUAAUACACUUAAGGUCCCUACACCAUCAGUGGGUACAUUUACAUGUGCCUUUACGGCGACAUGAUAAACCCUGGCACAGUUCGUGCUGGUAUCGGCUGCUCUUGGGUGCAGCGUCUUCAUGUGCCUGGGGCCAAGCAAUCCCGUGCUAGCCGUGGCAGCAGGCCGUGGGGCUCAGCCCCAGGCUCUGGGUGGCGGCAUUGGGCAGCAAUAGGGGCUGGCAGAAGCAGAGGAUCUGGCCCCUGGCUGGCUGGGCUAGCCCGGCACAAUUAACAUGCCCUAUCAGUGUCUACAUGCGUUUUUACAUGCAGUUAUUUUCACUGCCAUAAGAUCGUACUAUCCCUGCUAUCUUAUGCUGCAAAAAUUAGUUACAAAUCCACAUUUGCCCAUCAUUUAAAUGAAACACCAUUAAUAUAUCUAUUAAUGUAUCUCUAUGUAUUUAUCCAUAGACAGCGAGAGUGGUGGUUCAGUUUAACCAUGGGAAAAAGUGGAUUUGGAGUUACUUUUUUUUAGGCUGUAUUAUUCUCCCAGGGAACAGAACGAAGAGAGGAGUGAGGAGCGGGAGAGUUAAGAUGCAUGUGUAAGUGCCCAGGCUUAAGUUUUAGGAUGCAGGAAAGGAGUCGGGCUCACCAGGCAAAACCAGGCAUCUCCGACGCCCUGGGCAGCAGCAGCAGAUGGGACAGUGGUGGCUCCUGGCUGCUGGCAGAAGCAGGUGUUAUUUUUCUGCUCUCUUCUAAGCCCAAGCCAGCACACGACUGCUGAAGCCUAUUUGGCCCCCAAGAGACCAACAGAGAUUAUAGCUGCUGCUACACCACCCCCGCCCCCCGUUCCCCACCCACUCACCCACUCAUACUGGAUGGGAUGCAGGGGCUGGGAAAAGACCUGCACUCAUCAGAUAUUCUUGGUUUUCCAGUAUAGAGAGCUGCUGCUACAGGGGGGAGUCCCAGGGCUGUGUAGGAAGCUGGGAGCCAGGGCUCUUGGGAACUAUUCCCAACUCCAGGAGGGGAGGUGAAUCCUGGGUUUGCAGCUGAGGGCCGGCAAGGCACAGGAUCUACAAGCCGUGCACAGGAUAACCUAUUUGCCAUGUGCAAUGGACAUGAGACCCUCAACCCAGAACUGAAACUCAAUCCCCACCUACGUGUGGCCUCACCAGCCUGGUGUCUACGGCCCAAGGAAAGCCGUCUCUGCUCUGAUUAAUCGCCUGCUCGUGAUUGCCGCCGUGAAACCCGCUCUGGGAAGCGGGGUGCUCAUUCUAAAGUUCAUGCCAGAAACUAGGAGUCCUGUGUCCUCUCCCUGCCUGCAGGAGGGCAGUGGGGUUUCUUGCAUUAGAAAAAGCCUUGGACUGGAUCUUCUCUCUGAGUCUCGGAUUGAGGUUUUAUCUUGGGGUCUGGAGAGCAGCAGUGGUUAAAGCAGAGGGGGUGGGGGCCAGCACUGCUGGGCCCAGGUCUGUCUCUGCCAUGCCGCUGGGCUGGGGAUUGUUGGGUUAUUUGCAGGGGGCAGAGGAAUGGAUGUUUCUGGAGGUUGCAAUAUCGUGACCCCCCACCCCUCCCCAGAGCUCCCUGCCCCACUCAGUGCCUGUGAGCACCGCAGUAGAAGGAGCUGCUGGACAAAGGCAUGGGAGCUGCCCUGCCCACCCCCAUGCCAGCCCCCAGCUGGCUCUAUAUAAUGGGGAAGGAAGGGAAGAAGAGUCAGAGACUCAGCCUUGCAAGCAGCUGGACCAAGGCCUUGCUGCUGCAUAGUCCCAGCACAGGGGACGUGCAGAGACAGAACCUCCAUGGGUUGCUUCUGGGAGUGCUGAGAUCAGACUUGGGGCAACAAAAAGAGUCAGAGAAGGGGAAAGCCUCAGUGCGGAUGCCUGCAUGCUCUGCCUACCUAUGGGAGGGAAGAGGGGGACGUGGGGGUCACACCAGCAAUACUUGGAAUGAGAGCAAAGGAGAGAGAGAGUCCAAGUGAGACCGAGGGCUCGCGAGAGGCUGGUGCUGUGACCCAUGUCUCCCUGGGGGUGCAAGAGCUGGGCCCCUUCUCCUUCCUGCAGGAUGACCGGUUUCGAACGCCAUGUGGGAAUCUCAAGGCCAAGUCCCAAGACUGGCUAUGGUGGUUGUCUCAAGCAGGGUUGGAAAGCUGUCAGGACUGCUCAGUGGCUCAGUUUCCCCAAGAGCAGAAGAGAACUAUCAUAACUUCCUUGUGUCCCUUCUGCAUGUCUGCUAUGUGAUUAUCCAGCUAUGAUCCGUGUGGGUCCGUGCACGCACCAGCACAACAGGAGCCCGGACCCAGUGUUGGUGUGUGCAGCACCCAACUCAGCGCAGCCCUGAUCUCAGCACAAGUCAGUUCAGUCCCUAGUGCUGUGCUUCCCACCCAGUGUGCCACGCACAAAAGCGUGCCGUCAGACGUGAAGGGGCGUGCCACCGAAUUCUGCCAUGGCAACGAGCUACAAUAGCCGAUCGAGUGGCUCUGAGGAAGCCAUGUGUCCCAGGGGCCCCGUGCCACCGUGCUGCUGAUGUUCCUCAUGCUGACCCUGAUGUCUUCCUGGCCGACCGUGGGCAGCUGGGAAUCACAAAAUGACAUGUUCCAGAGGCAGCACAUCAGCGAGCUGUCACACCCGCCCUUCAGUGAUACCUGCUGCAACACGAGGAUGUCAAGACAGAAGAUUACCACUCCUGCAUGAAAGCCCUGCAACACCUUCAUCCAUGCAGAUUUAUCAACAGUAAGAGCAAUCUGCACACGGUACAACAGGUAUUACAGCAAUGAUAGCUUCUGUGUCCCCGACUGCAAAUUUAUAAGAAAGGACCCACGACAAGGCGGUGUGUACUGUGCAACCACUGUCUCCUGGAGUAUUUAAUAACCUGUGAGUGAGUCCAGGGAUCUGGACUGGUGCCUGUCCACUAUGGCAAAUACAAAGAGUGCUUCCCCUCGUAGCCAGGGGUAGGGCAAGCGUUGACACCACUGCAUCCUUCAGCUUUCUAAAUCUACUUUUCUGCAAUAUAAAGCCAUUGCUUCUCAUCUGACCUGCUGCAGCAAGGAAGAAAAAAUGUUCUUUUUUAUGGCAGCCUUGUGGUAGCCAGAACCAGAGGGGUUAGUAUCAUGAGCAAUAAAUAUAUGCUCUUGGAGACAUCCAGGCAAUUGUUUAGCAGUUAAGAUUAGCUAACGCAAAGCUGGCAAGUUUGCAACCCACACAUGGAAUUUGUCACAAUUUAACCAAAGUGUUGAAUCUAACUGUUCGCACUGAUCUUGAGACUGACUAGGUCCCAAAAUAACCCCAGACUACAAGAUUAGCUGAUCUAACAGGUUUUUUAAAUGUCAGCCAUAACAAGAUCUGACCACCUAACAUAAUUAGCACAUUCCUAGGAAUCCAAGGAAUAAGAAACCAAGGGGUUGAGCGUGAGCAGGUAAUGCUAAUUUCAAACCUCAAAGUAAUGUGGCAUAAUUUGCUUAUUGUGUGAACCUGAGUUCAGACGGUAACCUUUCAUGAUAAUUUCUAACACCUUUUGACCCAAUAGGAUAACAGCUAUAGUGCAAGAUUGUGAGUGGCUCUAAAGCCAACAGAUUAGCAUAAGGUAAGGCAUAAAGGAAUGCGCAUGUCAAGUGACCAGAUAGAAGGACAGGACAGAAGGACUAUCACUGUACCAAGCCUGGACCCCAGACUCCCACUGUUAGCAAGGUGAUUGGAGGGACUGGGAUAGUCUACAUUAAACCAAAUUUAGCCUC